UACGGGGGGGUAAGCGUUGUUCGGAAUUACUGGGCGUAAAGGGCUCGUAGGCGGCCAACUAAGUCAUACGUGAAAUCCCUCAGCUUAACUGGGGAACUGCGUGUGAUACUGGAUGGCUUGGAUUUGGGAGAGGGAUGUGGAAUUCCAGGUGUAGCGGUGAAAUGCGUAGAUAUCUGGAGGAACACCGGUGGCGAAGGCGGCAUCCUGGACCAACACUGACACUGAGGAGCGAAAGCCAGGGGAGCAAACGGG
rnacentral:rRNA from 1 species